CAAAGGUAUGCCGACAAUGAAUGGUUAUGAAACCCGCCAGAUCUGGAAAGAAGCAACGGUAAUAACUUUUUUUGUGUUGGAUUAUAUUUUUGGUG
rnacentral:SRP_RNA from 1 species